rnacentral:rRNA from 1 species
UACGUAGGGUGCGAGCGUUGUCCGGAAUCAUUGGGCGUAAAGCGCGUGUAGGCGGCCCGGUAAGUCCGCUGUGAAAGUCGGGGGCUCAACCCUCGGAUGCCGGGUGGAUACUGUCGGGCUCGAGUACGGAAGAGGCGAGUGGAAUUCCUGGUGUAGCGGUGAAAUGCGCAGAUAUCAGGAGGAACACCGAUUGCGAAGGCAGCUCGCUGGGACGUUACUGACGCUGAGACGCGAAAGCGUGGGGAGCAAACAGG